rnacentral:rRNA from 1 species
GAUCCUGGCUCAGGAUGAACGCUAGCGACAGGCUUAACACAUGCAAGUCGAGGGGCAGCACAGGUAGCAAUACCGGGUGGCGACCGGCGCACGGGUGAGUAACGCGUAUGCAACUUACCUAUCAGAGGGGGAUAACCCGGCGAAAGUCGGACUAAUACCGCAUGAAGCAGGGGCCCUGCAUGGGGAUAUUUGCUAAAGAUUCAUCGGCUGAUAGAUAGGCAUGCGUUCCA